GUGUCACUUCCAAAGGGCAGGUUUGAUGGAGAAAGCAGUGGGAAUUUGGGAACUGUUUGCAUAAUGGAUGGGAGAGCUUGGAGAACAAGAAAGCGUUCCACAGAUAGAGGCACUGAGAGCAACAGUGCGAGUGGGAAGAGCAGACAGAAGGCCUCACCUGAAAGGAAUGGCGACGAUGCAUCAAGGGACGGGCAAUUCCAUAUGAAGCUUACAUGCAUAAGAUGUUUUCAUAAUACCAAGACAAUAGGCAAUAUGGCUUGAAGAGAUGUGUUUGUUGUAGAGUUACAGCCUCAUUCAGGGUGCGUGAAGGGAAGCUUUUUUUGUCACCAAAAAGAUAUCCAAAUAUAAUCACUGGGAAAGCUGACUUAUCGUACAGAAUGAAAAUGAAGUUUCCAGACUUUAAAUUCAC